ACGCACGUGUGAAACUUGAAGGAAUUGACGGAAGGGCACCACAAGAACGCGUGGAGCAUGUGGCUUAAUUUGACCCAACGCGGGAAAUCUUACCGGGUCCGGACACACUGAGGAUUGACAGGCAAUAUUAAUAUGUGUAUACUUUUUUUCUUUCACGAGUUGGAAAGCUUUACGUAUAUUAUGUUAAAUAUGCUAGUCCUUUCAUGAUUAUGUGAUAGGUGGUGCAUGGCCGUUCUUAGUUCGUGGAGUGAUCUGUCUGCUUAAUUGCGUUUCACUAAGGGCCUAUACAAUUACGUAUGUUGUUGAUUGCACUUUGACCCCUCCUUCACGGGUGCGUGUGUCUUUGCUUGCUAACAACUCAUACAAUUAGGUCCUGAAAGCAACGAACGU
rnacentral:rRNA from 1 species